rnacentral:tRNA from 1 species
AUCUUUCUAGUAUCAACCCUAGUAUUAGUGACUUCCAAUCACCAGGUCUUGGUUAAAACCCAAGGAAAGAUA